AUUGAACGCUGGCGGCAUGCCUAACACAUGCAAGUCGAGCGAGCGGCGGACGGGUGAGUAAUGUAUGGGGACCUGCCUGAUAGAGGGGGAUAACUGCUGGAAACGGUGGCUAAUACCGCAUACUAUCGGUUGAACCCAUAUGGGAUUAGCUAGUAGGUGGGGUAACGGCUCACCUAGGUGACGAUCUCUAGCUGGUCUGAGAGGAUGAAAAGCCACACUGGAACUGAGACACGGCCCAGACUCCUACGGGAGGCAGCAGUGGGGAAUAUUGCACAAUGGGCGCAAGCCUGAUGCAGCCAUGCCGCGUGUAUGAAGAAGGCCUUAGGGUUGUAAAGUACUUUCAGCGGGGAGGCGUUACCCGCAGAAGAAGCACCGGCUAACUCCGUGCCAGCAGCCGCGGUAAUAC
rnacentral:rRNA from 1 species